UACGUAGGGGGCAAGCGUUGUCCGGAUUUAUUGGGCGUAAAGAGCGUGUAGGCGGCCAGGUAGGUCCGUUGUGAAAACUCGAGGCUCAACCUCGAGACGUCGGCGGAAACCCUCUGGCUAGAGUCCGGAAGAGGAGAGUGGAAUUCCUGGUGUAGCGGUGAAAUGCGCAGAUAUCAGGAAGAACACCCGUGGCGAAGGCGGCUCUCUGGGACGGUACUGACGCUGAGACGCGAAAGCAUGGGGAGCAAACAGG
rnacentral:rRNA from 1 species